rnacentral:rRNA from 2 species
UCCAACGUUAAUCGGGGCAGGGUGAGUCGACCCCUAAGGCGAGGCCGAAAGGCGUAGUCGAUGGGAAACAGGUUAAUAUUCCUGUACUUGGUGUUACUGCGAAGGGGGGACGGAGAAGGCUAUGUUAGCCGGGCGACGGUUGUCCCGGUUUAAGCAUGUAGGCGGAACGAUUAGGUAAAUCCGGUCGUUUAUUAACGCUGAGGUGUGAUGACGAGGCACUACGGUGCUGAAGUAACAAAUGCCCUGCUUCCAGGAAAAGCCUCUAAGCAUCAGGUAACAUCAAAUCGUACCCCAAACCGACACAGGUGGUCAGGUAGAGAAUACCAAGGCGCUUGAGAGAACUCGGGUGAAGGAACUAGGCAAAAUGGUGCCGUAACUUCGGGAGAAGGCACGCUGAUAUGUAGGUGAAGCCCCUGCGGGUGGAGCUGAAAUCAGUCGAAGAUACCAGCUGGCUGCAACUGUUUAUUAAAAACACAGCACUGUGCAAACACGAAAGUGGACGUAUACGGUGUGACGCCUGCCCGGUGCCGGAAGGUUAAUUGAUGGGGUUAGCGGCAACGCGAAGCUCUUGAUCGAAGCCCCGGUAAACGGCGGCCGUAACUAUAACGGUCCUAAGGUAGCGAAAUUCCUUGUCGGGUAAGUUCCGACCUGCACGAAUGGCGUAAUGAUGGCCAGGCUGUCUCCACCCGAGACUCAGUGAAAUUGAACUCGCUGUGAAGAUGCAGUGUACCCGCGGCAAGACGGAAAGACCCCGUGAACCUUUACUAUAGCUUGACACUGAACACUGGUCCUUGAUGUGUAGGAUAGGUGGGAGGCUUUGAAGUGUGGACGCCAGUCUGCAUGGAGCCGUCCUUGAAAUACCACCCUUUAAUGGCUGGUGUUCUAACGUAGACCCGUGAUCCGGGUUGCGGACAGUGUCUGGUGGGUAGUUUGACUGGGGCGGUCUCCUCCCAAAGAGUAACGGAGGAGCACGAAGGUUAGCUAAUCCUGGUCGGACAUCAGGAGGUUAGUGCAAUGGCAUAAGCUAGCUUGACUGCGAGAGUGACGGCUCGAGCAGGUGCGAAAGCAGGUCAUAGUGAUCCGGUGGUUCUGAAUGGAAGGGCCAUCGCUCAACGGAUAAAAGGUACUCCGGGGAUAACAGGCUGAUACCGCCCAAGAGUUCAUAUCGACGGCGGUGUUUGGCACCUCGAUGUCGGCUCAUCACAUCCUGGGGCUGAAGUAGGUCCCAAGGGUAUGGCUGUUCGCCAUUUAAAGUGGUACGCGAGCUGGGUUUAGAACGUCGUGAGACAGUUCGGUCCCUAUCUGCCGUGGGCGCUGGAGAAUUGAGGGGGGCUGCUCCUAGUACGAGAGGACCGGAGUGGACGCAUCACUGGUGUUCGGGUUGUCAUGCCAAUGGCACUGCCCGGUAGCUAAAUGCGGAAAAGAUAAGUGCUGAAAGCAUCUAAGCACGAAACUUGCCCCGAGAUGAGUUCUCCCUGAGACUUUAAGUCUCCUGAAGGAACGUUGAAGACGACGACGUUGAUAGGUCGGGUGUGUAAGCGCAGCGAUGCGUUGAGCUAACCGAUACUAAUGAACCGUGAGGCUUAACCUUACAACGCCGAAG